ensembl:snRNA U6 U6 spliceosomal RNA
GUGCUCACUUCGGCAGCACAUAUACUAAAAUUGGAAUGAUACAGAGAUUAGCAUGUCCCCUGUGCAAGAAGAUAUGCAAAUUCAUGAAGUGUUCCAUAUUUAA